rnacentral:rRNA from 1 species
UACGUAGGGGGCUAGCGUUGUCCGGAAUCAUUGGGCGUAAAGCGCGUGUAGGCGGUCCGGUAAGUCCGCUGUGAAAGUCGGGGGCUCAACCCUCGAAAGCCGGUGGAUACUGUCGGGCUCGAGUACGGAAGAGGCGAGUGGAAUUCCUGGUGUAGCGGUGAAAUGCGCAGAUAUCAGGAGGAACACCAAUUGCGAAGGCAGCUCGCUGGGACGUUACUGACGCCUGAG